rnacentral:lncRNA from 1 species
CCGGCUCAAAAGAACGAUUCGUUCAAGAAACUAACAUCACUAUUCUCAUUACAUAAAACAAAAAUGCAGCACUUUAGGACACAAAGAACAAAAAAGAGCUUGGGAAUACGAAAUAUUUAAUGUAACAAUGGAAACCAAACCUGUGUUGUUUGGCAUAUGGAGGUCUUAAGUUCACCACAGGUGCACGUGCUGCGUCUGAGCCACUACUGCAGAUUUUCCCUGUGAAAACAUUAUCGGCCGUCUCGCCUGUUCUGUUGACUCGCGGGGAGCGGCAGUGGUCAAAGGUGUGGUUAACGGCUUAGCUCGUCAUCCCAAGCGCUUGGUCACACACUCCUCAAAGUGGCAUCGCCUGAAGGGCACUGAUAACACACAUUCUGCACUUCUAUUGGUUGAUGUCCAGAAAACCAGCAAUCUCACAUGGAAGAAUCUGUACAUUAGAGGAAAGGUGGACGUUUGACGGGAGAGGCGUGGAUGUGUCCAGCCAGUGGAACCUGGCGUCUGCUUGAAUGCCCGUCAACACUGUACGCACCCACAAAUUCGCACAAAUGCGCACGCACGUAAAGGGGGAAAAAAAGCUCUUCACAGCUCUUCGGUUUCUGACAGAUUGAUCGGAGUUGCCAGAACAUUCUGUGGUUGUCAGUUUUGUUGCAACUAAAUCAUUCUCCCCAAAGAUUUAAGCAUUUGAAAUUAAGAUUUUUCGGAGCGAAUCAUAUUCCAAAAAACACCUAUUGCAAGUCACAUGCAUUAAACAUUCAGACGACAAUGUUUUGAUGAAUUAAAGACCAUCCGUUGACCCCCUGAUGUUUUCAAGUCCUCUUCUGACCAAGAACGCAAUGCAUAUUUGACAUCUUUUAUAAUGAGAUUGGUCUCCUUUGGCGGCGAAUCCCUGGUGCGUUUUAAAACGAGACUUACCAGUUAAACAACAACAUUUAACCUAUAUAUAUUUUGCUGACAUAAACCAGAC